rnacentral:rRNA from 1 species
GACGAACGCUGGCGGCGUGCUUAACACAUGCAAGUCGAACGGAAAGGCCCUGCUUUUGUGGGGUGCUCGAUUGGCGAACGGGUGAGUAACACGUGAGUAACCUGCCCUUGACUUUGGGAUAACUUCAGGAAACUGGGGCUAAUACCGGAUAGGAGCUCCUGCUGCAUGGUGGGGGUUGGAAAGUUUCGGCGGUUGGGGAUGGACUCGCGGCUUAUCAGCUUGUUGGUGGGGUAGUGGCUUACCAAGGCUUUGACGGGUAGCCGGCCUGAGAGGGUUACCGGCCACAUUGGGACUGAGAUACGGACCAGACUCCUACGGGAGGCAGCAGUGGGGAAUAUGGCACAAUGGGCGGAAGUCUGAUGCAGCAACGCCGCGUGCGGGAUGACGGCUUUCGGGUGGUAAACCGCUUUCGCCUGUGACGAAGCGUGAGUGACGGUAAUGGGUAAAGAAGCACCGGCUAACUACGUG